rnacentral:tRNA from 1 species
AGGAUUAUAAUUUAAAAAAAAUAUUUGAUUUGCAUUCAAAAAAUAUUGAUAUAUCAAUUUAUCUUA